GACGAACCGUGCGAACGUUAUUCGGAAUCACUGGGCUUAAAGCGCGUGUAGGCGGGACGGCACGUCUGUCGCUGAAAUCCCCCGGCUUAACCGGGGAACUGGCGUAGAUACGACCGUCCUGGAGGGGCGUAGGGGGACCUGGAACUUCCGGUGGAGCGGUGAAAUGCGCAGAUAUCAGGAGGAACACCCGUGGCGAAAGCGGCUCUCUGGGACGGUACUGACGCUGAGACGCGAAAGCGCGGGGAGCAAACAGG
rnacentral:rRNA from 1 species